ACAUCUGGUUCCACAUGACUCUCCACUCAUCCGCACUCCACCACUCCCCAGGUGGAUGCUCAGGGUCAGGAGCCUGAGUGAGAACAACAGGUCUGUCGAGUUCUGCAGGGCUGAGCUGUUUAUCAUUGCGGAGGACACUCAUCACUGUGCUAAUUACAUUAAUUGCUGCCCACUCUGAGGCUAGCUCCUUCCUGUGAUGGCCCAAGACUGUAAUUACAGGUUGGAUUGGUUGGAAGUUAGUUGCUCUCUACCAUGUAGGGGAAAGGUCAAGACAAUGAACUUUGCUCCUCAUCGGACGCCUUACUGGAAGUAGAGAGGAAGGAUGAGGGUUCCUGUGGUAAUCUCAUGAUUCUCUAGAAGCAGGUGCUCUCCUACCCUCAUUCUGUUUGAGGGAGCCUGGUCAGCUGCUUGGAGUCCAAGAGCUAGCAAGAGAGGAGACAGUCUGAAAGCAGGAACCAUCAGAAGUCAUCGUUAGUGCCCAUGCCAUAGUACCCCUCACCAGGACACUGCUCUUUCUGAAGCUGAAUGUGUAUUGGCAGGGUCGGGCAAGGUGCCAACAAAUGGGUUUUGUCUAUCCCUAAAUGAUGACUGCUUGAGAUCUCACCUGCUCUGCCUUCCUUCCAGAGAUUCCAAGAGAAAUUGCUUGUAAGUGUAUUAAAUGCAAUGUAUUAAAGUCAGAUGUAA